rnacentral:misc_RNA from 1 species
CCGUACUCUAUCACCCACGUGAUUCCGUACAAAACAAACUCCGCCGCAGUCCAGCGACGCCCGCGCCUUCCUAACCGGAGGCCGGGCAGAGGGCUCGGCAAAAAAACGACUGAAAAUGACUCGAGAGUUUGGUUGCCCGAGGCGCAGUACGCCCGAGGCCGGCGAAAGCCGCUCCCGCAGUCCAUGAUCAAUAAGUCCGCCGAGGCACCUCGAGAGAGGAGUCUCCGGUGGACUUCAUUUUUGUGCGCCGCUGUAAGUGAAGUGCUCUUAUAUAUUGCCUUGAGCACGUGCCCUGAGGCGCACAAGCCCCCGUUUUCGAGGGUUGCACUGAGAGAUGGACGUCUUCUCCAGACGGACAGAUGAAGCUUCGGUAACGGAAUAAAACACGCGUCUCCCCUGUGUGCCUGUGGUCAAACAGUCUUGGGCCGGGAGACGAACUCGUGGUUGUUCUUAAAGCAUUUUUGCGCCGUCGCGACUCAGUGUUGCUGCCGCCUUCUCCCUUUCGGGGGCAAGAAGGCGGUACCACCGCAAAGGGACUUGGCAGGUCCUGGUGGUUGCCACGGGACGUGUUGUUGCCUUCAUUUAAGCUUGUCGGCACCGUGUCUCCCUAGGAAAGAAGCCUAAAUAUACCGUUGGCGUGGACUUGAGAGAAGUACUGGGUCUUAACACGUGCAAUCGGUCAAACU